rnacentral:rRNA from 1 species
UACGUAGGGGGCAAGCGUUGUCCGGAAUCAUUGGGCGUAAAGAGCGUGUAGGCGGUCCGUUAAGUCGGCUGUGAAAGUCCAAGGCUCAACCUUGGGAUGCCGGUCGAUACUGCCGGACUAGAGUUCGGAAGAGGCGAGUGGAAUUCCCGGUGUAGCGGUGAAAUGCGCAGAUAUCGGGAGGAACACCGGUGGCGAAGGCGGUUCUCUGGGCCUGACCUGACGCUGAGGAGCGAAAGCGUGGGGAGCGAACAGG